UUGGAGGGCAGUCUGGUGCAGCAGCCGCGGUAAUUCCAGCUCCAAUAGCGUAUAUUAAAGUUGUUGCAGUUAAAAAGCUCGUAGUUGAAUUUCGGGGUUAGUAGGUUGGUCAUGCCACUGGUAUGUACUGGUCUCACUGAUUCCUCCUUCCUGAUGAGCCGUAAUGCCACUAAUUUGGUGUUGCGAGGAAUCUGGACUGUUACUUUGAAAAAAUUAGAGUGUUUAAAGCAAGCUAACGCUUGAAUACAUUAGCAUGGAAUAAUGAAAUAGGACGUUCGAUCCUAUUUUGUUGGUUUCUAGGAUUGACGUAAUGAUUAAUAGGGAUAGUUGGGGACAUUAGUAUUCAAUUGUCAGAGGUGAAAUUCUUGGAUUUAUUGAAGACUAACUACUGCGAAAGCAUUUGCCAAGGAUGUUUUCAUUAAUCAAGAACGAAAGUUAGGGGAUCGAAGACGAUCAGAUACCGUCGUAGUCUUAACCAUAAACUAUGCCGACUAGGGAUCGGAUGAUGUUAUUUUUAAUGACUCAUUCGGCGCCUUACGGGAAAC
rnacentral:rRNA from 1 species